rnacentral:rRNA from 1 species
GACUUAAGCAUAUCAAUAAGCGGAGGAAAAGAAACCAACAGGGAUUGCCUUAGUAACGGCGAGUGAAGCGGCAAUAGCUCAAAUUUGAAAUCUGGCGCUUGCGUCCGAGUUGUAAUUUGCAGAGGAUGAUUUUGGUUAGGUACCUUCCGAGUUCCUUGGAACAGGACGCCUUAGAGGGUGAGAGCCCCGUACGGUUGGAUGCCGAGCCUUUGUAAAUCUCCUUCGACGAGUCGAGUAGUUUGGGAAUGCUGCUCUAAAUGGGAGGUAAAUUUCUUCUAAAGCUAAAUACUGGCCAGAGACCGAUAGCGCACAAGUAGAGUGAUCGAAAGAUGAAAAGCACUUUGAAAAGAGGGUUAAAUAGCACGUGAAAUUGUUGAAAGGGAAGGAUUUAUGACCAGACUUUUUCUAGGAGGAUCAUCCGGUGUUCUCACCGGUGCACUUCUUCUAGUUUAGGCCAGCAUCGACUUUCGGCGGUGGAUAAAAGCUUUAGGAAUGUGACUCCUCUCGGGGAGUGUUAUAGCCUAUUGUAUAAUACACUGCUGGGGGUCGAGGUACGCGCUUCUGCAAGGAUGCUGGCGUAAUGGUUAUCAAUCACCCGUCUUGAAACACGGACCAAGGAGUCGAACAUUUGUGCAAGUGUUUGGGUGUUAAACCCUCACGCGUAAUGAAAGUGAACGGAGGUGAGAGCCCUUACGGGUGCAUCAUCGACCGAUCCUGAUGUUUUCGGAUGGAUUUGAGUAAGAGCAUAACUGUUCGGACCCGAAAGAUGGUGAACUAUGCGUGGAUAGGGUGAAGCCAGAGGAAACUCUGGUGGAGGCUCGCAGCGGUUCUGACGUGCAAAUCGAUCGUCAAAUCUGCGCAUGGGGGCGAAAGACUAAUCGAACCAUCUAGUAGCUGGUUACCGCCGAAGUUCCCC